rnacentral:rRNA from 1 species
GAUGAACGCUGGCGGCGUGCCUAAUACAUGCAAGUCGAGCGAACAGACGAGGAGCUUGCUCCUCUGACGUUAGCGGCGGACGGGUGAGUAACACGUGGAUAACCUACCUAUAAGACUGGGAUAACUUCGGGAAACCGGAGCUAAUACCGGAUAAUAUAUUGAACCGCAUGGUUCAAUAGUGAAAGACGGUUUUGCUGUCACUUAUAGAUGGAUCCGCGCCGCAUUAGCUAGUUGGUAAGGUAACGGCUUACCAAGGCGACGAUGCGUAGCCGACCUGAGAGGGUUAUCGGCCACACUGGAAAUUAACACCCGUCCAGACUCCUACGGGGAGCCGCAGUAGGGAAUCUUCCGCAAUUGGCGAAAGCCUGACGGGGCCACGCCGCGUGAGUGAUGAAGGUCUUCGGAUCGUAAAACUCUGUUAUUAGGGAAGAACAAAUGUGUAAGUAACUAUGCACGUCUUGACGGUACCUAAUCAGAAAGCCACGGCUAACUACGUG